UAGCGUGAGGGGCAAGCGUUGUCCGGAAUUAUUGGGCGUAAAGCGCGCGCAGGCGGUCGCCUAAGCCGACCGUGAAAGCCCCCGGCUCAACCGGGGGAGGGUCGGUGGGGGACUGGGCGACUUGAGGACGGCAGGGGCUGGUGGAAUCCCCGGUGUAGUGGUGAAAUGCGUAGAGAUCGGGGGGAACACCCGUGGCGAAGGCGGCCUGCUGGGCAGUGGCUGACACUGAGGCGCGCAGCGUGGGGAGCAAACAGG
rnacentral:rRNA from 1 species